rnacentral:misc_RNA from 1 species
UUUCCGUAGGUGAACCUGCGGAAGGAUCAUUACUGAGUGAGGGCCCCUCGGGGUCCGACCUCCCACCCGUGUUUAACGAACCUUGUUGCUUCGGCGGGCCCGCCUCACGGCCGCCGGGGGGCAUCUGCCCCCGGGCCCGCGCCCGCCGAAGCCACCUGUGAAUGCUGUCUGAAGUAUGCAGUCUGAGACAAUUAUUAAAUUAAUUAAAACUUUCAACAACGGAUCUCUUGGUUCCG